ACAAAUUUUAAAACUGAUAAAGGAAGUACCGGGGGAAAAAAAAAAAAAGAUUGUAAGAAGGAAGGUGGACUCUAGCUCUGUGCCAGCCCCCCUAAGACCUGGAAGCAAACUGGACACGCGUAGAAGGAAUGAUCUUGUACGGACCAUGGACUCACAAGAAUGACCAAGUCAGUCUUCACUGUGUUACUUCUUGUUGAAACACCUCGGCAUGAGGACAUGUGCUGUUCAGAUGAACGUGUGAAGUGGGCUGUGAAGGGAGAGAUGACUGAACCGUAGUCUGUUGUUCUCUGUGGUAACCCCUCAUCCUCUUCCCUGUCCUGUGAAGCCUUCCCCAGUGCUCCAGUCUCAGGGCCUCAGCCUUUGCCUACACCCCUCUGACUUUGGGGAUGGCAUUUAGCAGCCAAACACCCACAGAUCCUGGACUGACGUCUGCUUCUCACUCCUACCACUUAGACGUUGAGUGAUCCUCAUGCUCUAGAUCGGAUGGAUACAGACACCUGACGUCACCUCCAUGAUUUGAUCUACAGAACUCUCCUGCAAAACCAUUUUACAAACAAAUAUUCUUUAAGGGUCUCUCAGCCAGAAAGAGGCAGCACUGGGAUUUGAACCCAGGUCCCCUGACUCCACAGCAUGUUAUCCCACAACCCACUUGAGAAUGCAGGGCGAAGUGCUGGAGUCCGUGAGGAGGUGGUGGUAGUCUCCUUGAGGACCAGCCCUGUCCCUGACUUACUCCUCCUCGGGGGAUGCUAGGCACCAGCGGUGAUGACAGGAAAACUGUGGUUUGGAAAGCAGAUCUUUGUGACUCACCAGGGGAUGGAAGAGGCGGCAGCCCCGGGAGGAGACAGCAGCCCUGCCCAGCGACAGCCGCAGUUCCGCUGCGAGCCUGCUGGAUUCAAAUCUGUGCCUCAGUGAUGCGACCUAUGACAGCACCUCACGCCCUACCCAGCCACUGGGGAACAGCUUCUGCUUGGACUGUCAGAUUCCCGUGUGCCAGGUGAUUGCUGUCUGCUCUCCCUAAACACAACCUGCAGGGUUUGGAAGAGAAGCCAGGCUAAGCUCCAAACUCCGGGAGUUAGGAGGAAGGCUGGGCUCUGAGCAGGUGGCCAGGCCUCCCACAGUUAAGACCAGGAACUCACUGCCAUCGAGCUGUUUGCCGUCUGAAGACCUAAGUGAGACGAACAAGUGAUAAAUUGCCAUGCUGCUUCUGUUACUCCUCAUUACAGAAACUUUGGGUGGGACCAGGCUACAUGUCUUCUGACCAGCGGAUUUUCUCCUGCUUUACCUAAUGGGAGACCAAGUCAUCGUGGAAACAUUGCUAUGGAAAUGGUAGUUACCCCAAAUCAACUCACAUUUGAGUCAUUUAGCUUCAAAAGCCGGGUGAAGCUACCAGCACAGCAGAGACGCCCUAGACACUUGGAUCGAUUGAUUUUUUCAUUUGUCAACAAAUAGUCAUUAAAUUCCUAAUUUCCAGGCAUUGGUCUAGGCACUAGGAAUACAACAUUGAGCAAAACCAGCCCACAUCCCUGCCCUUAUGAACUUAUAUUCCAAUGGGAGGAGAUAUAAUAUAUUCAAAUUAGUGAAAUAUAUAGGUGGUGAUAAGGGAUAAGGGGAAAAAUAAAGUGGGGAAGGGGGGGUAUGAGUUGUGAGGGGUGGGAGAAUUUGUUAUUUUAAGUAAAGUGUCCAGGACAGGCCUCCAACCUGAAGUAAAGACCCGAAGGACUCAAGCGUGGAGCCAUGUGAAUACCCAGGGGAAGAACAUUCUAGAACACUAAUAGCAAGUGCAAAGGCCCUGUGGCAGGAGGGCUUACCUGGUUAAAAGACCAUCAGGGAGGUAGGAUGGGAUGGGAGUGGGAAUAGGGUGUAGGGGGUAGAAGGUAGAGGUGGUGGUGGUACAGGGCUGAGCAGGAAGAGAUGAUUCCCAGAGGUGGGGGGAUCCAGGUCACAGAAGGCCAAAUAUAGGCUGUUGUGAGGACUUUGGCUUUUUCUCGGAGAGGGGGAUCCCUGGAGGGUUGGGGCAGGAAAAAAAAAAAGCAUGAUUUACCUCCUGUUGUGAUAGGGUCACAUUGGCUAAUCUAUAGGGGUAGCAAAGGCAGAAACAGGGAGCCCAGUUAGGAGACCUUCUGAUAAUCCAGGUAUGAUGGGGGCCCACACUAAGGUGGAAGCAGUGGAGGCUGAGGAUAGUCGGGUUGAGUUCCUUGACCAGGGCACCGUGUCCCCAGUGUGGAGCUUAGUGAGCCCAAGAACAGUGUCUUUCUUUGUUUCCUUUGCUUCUGUGGCUGAGGAUUGCCCUUUUGAUGGAUAAUUUCUUACUUUUUAGUUAAAUGAUCUAUCUUGCUCUGAUUAAAGAGCCAUUUGUUCUCUUUAGAGUGACUCUUCUGAUCUAUUAAAUAUUGAUUUCAUAACUCAGCUCUAAGAGAAUACUUUUAAGUUCUUAGGGGCCACCUCAUCACUGCCCCCCCCCCCCCCCCGAGGUAUAGUAGCCUGACUAGAGACGUCUGAUACAGAAAAUCGACUCCCAAGUUUCUGGGGACACAUAUCCAUAUUUCAGCAGGAGAUUGACCUUCCUGGUUAGGGCCUGAGAAUCUUUUAUUUCUCUGAGUGUGGUUCUGUCUGCCUGGUUGCCAUGGUGGCCCCCUCUGACCAAUGCUGGGGUCUCCAACAUAGGGGUUGAGGGCCCAGCAGGUGUCUCUCCAUCCACCCAGGGGACCUCCUAACUGCCUGUUCAGGCUGCGGCCCCAUGACAUUUGCAACUGAGUGGGCAAACUUUAACAGACCAUUCACAAUUCUUUUGGAUUCCUUCCCCCUCCCUUAAUGUGCAAAUAUCUCUCUGGUCUAUUGCUGUUGGCGGUUGGGCCCUCAUUGUGCCCUGUGUUCUGCCUGCUGGCCAGCCAGGGUGAGGGUACCUGUCCCGUACCCUGCAGUCUGUCCCCAGUGAGACUUUUUAGUGAUCUUCCUUUUGCUCCCAUUUGUUGGCCUUUUUUUUUUUUUUAAACCACCAUUGUUCGUCUUUACCAUUGUUUGUCUUUUAACAAAUAUCUGCAAAUGAGUUAAUAAAAUUUUAGAGGAUUCCAGUUUCUCCUACUUGCCGGUAUGGUAUUUCUCAGCCCUGGCUUUACAUUAGCAUAAGGAACUUUCAAAACUAUGAAGAUGCCUGUACCACACUCUAAACCAGCUGUUUCUGAAUGUAGAGAGCGGGGCACAGGCUUCAGUAUGUUCUAAAAGCCUCCCCCGCCUUCCCCACCCAAUGAUUCUGAAGCACAACUUUGCUCUCUUUCUUAAAGGCAGUAUAAACAGGGCCUAGCACCGGCAGGCUGUUCAUUCUCCAAGGCGCUCAAAGGUUUUCUCUCAAAGCUUCUUUCUUGUCUAAGUAAGGUUUUAUGGAGAGUCUGAAAGAAGAAAACGUUCAUUAUAUAAAUUCAAAUGUCUGUUCCUUUACCAGAACACAGGGCCUGCAAUGAACGAUGAAUUAAUAUAAUUUUAGUCUGGAAUCCAUUGGAAAAACACAAUUUUGUUUCAUUGUAUUUUGUAUGUGUUCAGAGCAGUGAUCUGUUAAAUAUAAAUGGUUAAAAUGUACCA